UCCGCCAGGGAACUACAAGCGCUAGCUUAAAACCCAAAGGACUUGACGGUGUCUCAGACCCACCUAGAGGAGCCUGUUCUAGAACCGAUAAUCCACGUUAAACCUCACCACCCCUUGUUCAAUCCAGCCUGUAUACCGCCGUCGCAAGCUUACCCUGUGAAGGUCCCAUAGUAAGCAAAAUGGGUAGACCCCAAAACGUCAGGUCGAGGUGCAGCUCACGGAGUGGGAAGAAAUGGGCUACAUUUUCUACAACAGAAUAUUACGAAUGACACCAUGAAACUGGUGUUUGAAGGUGGAUUUAGUAGUAAAAA
rnacentral:rRNA from 1 species